AUCCAGCUGAUGAGUCCGGAAUAAAACGAAACACGCGUCUUGGAU
rnacentral:hammerhead_ribozyme from 1 species